GCAUGCUCCACUUUGGCAGCCUGGGUUCGGUUCUUGGGCGCAGAACCACACCACUCGACUGUCAGUAGCCAUGCUGUGGUGGUCCUCACAUAGAAGAAGUGGAAGGACUAACAACCAGAAUAUACAGCUAUGUACUGGGGCUUUGGGGAGGAAAAAAAAGAAAAAGGAAGAUUGGCAACAGAUGUUAGCUCAGAGCAAAUCUUUCCCAGCAAGAAGAAAUAAAUAAAAUACUCAUUCAAAACAAAUAGUGCAUCUAAGAUAUUUUCUGAACUUUUCCAUUACCUCAGUUGAAGAAAGAGUGUGGUCUUAAACACAAGGGUCACAGCUCCUGUCCUGUGCCACCUGCCCACAAAGCCUGUGAUUGUUAAGGAAUGAACACUUGCAUAACUGUAAAAAAUUUUGCAUCAGCUUAAAUUGCAAGAUUGAAGAUAGGAUGAGUCCUCAGGCAUUUGGAUUCUUCUCUUUUUCUUUUAUCAUUUUCUUUGAAUUGCAAAGAAUAAUUAUUAGUUCAAGUCAGUCUCUUAAAAAAUUGUAUGCAUCAAUCACGAGCAAGACUUAAUCCGCUUGCUCAGUGCAAUCCGGUAAGAAAUUUACACACCCACCUAUUCUCAGCAUCGUACUGCACUGGGUAAAUAGCAAGAAUUUCCGCUUCUUCAUUAUUCCCAGAUGGUGCUGGCUGAUCCUAUCCCUGACAGCCACACACGUGUUCCGGUAGAAGCACAGCUUGGUUAUAUAAUCCUGUCUUGUGACCUCUAAAUCACAUGCUCUGCGUCUGCACCCAUUCAAGCUGCGGUUACCAUCCUCCUGUUGUUUCAGACAUGUCUUUGUGUUGCUGCCCUGCGGGUCUGAAGGUGGUGCCGUUAUGUGGAGCUCCAGGUGUGCCGGUGGGAUGGAAGGAUCAGGUGGUGUGGGCCUUCUCUGCCCCUCAGCACACACCUGAAUCAGCUUUUUAUUUGCCAUGACUACAUGCAAGGUCCAGUCGCAUCUGUAGCGUUGCUCCCGCCAAACAAACUAGCAGGGGUUGUGGUCUCUCGGGUUACACUUUUCUUCCCCAGGGGUUCUGGAUUUGAGAAGCCUGUGGAGAGUAGACCAUGGCUCCUCGAUGCUGCUGCUGAAACUGCUCAAAAGCCGGAGAUGGCAGUAAUGAUGACAUUAAUUGUGGCAAAGAUGUUGCAGGUCCUUCCAGUUGUGGCAUAUGGGACGCCGUCUCAACGUGCCUGAUGAGCAGUGCCAUGUCCGCGCCCAGGAUCCGAACCAGCGAAACCCUGGGCCGCCACAGCAGAGCACGCGAACUUAACCACUCGGCCAUGGGGUGGCCCCUCCAUCAUAUUCUUGUCCAUGUUUAUCCUCAUGUUGUCAUUUUUCGGUUUUUUUGUUUUGUUAAGAUAAGAUGUAGAUAGGAUAUCUCUGAAGCUUUGUCACAUUCGACUGGAAGCAAAGGCUACUGGAUCUGAUGGCCAGAAGGUCGGGCUGGGCCAGGGGUGGAGACCGUGGCGGCCUGAACAGGUCCGUGCUCUGUUGGAUGUGUUGAGUGUGAAGAGAAAGAAAGACAUGAGGAAGUAGUUUGAUGCGGUAGAUUUUUUAGAGUGUAUGUUUACACACGUGGGGCAGGAUCCAGUGGUGGGGAGAAAACCGGAGCAGAGAGGGGGAAGGCUCAUUGAUGAGCGGGUCCUGCGGGAGACGGGGGAAGAGGCACUGACAGCCCUCGGGGAGGCUGAGCUCUGGAAUGCAGAGGAAGAUGUAGAAAGGAAGAAAGGAUGGCGAUCAAGAGAAAGUUUCAGUGGAACCCGCGUCCUCGUCUCAUUUACAACACCAGUAUUUGGAGCUGUGGGGUUGGCGGAACAUGUAUGUUACAUUUUCUAUGAUAAAAUAAUGUUAACCUACAUUUGGUAGCCUUUAGGCUUUUUAUAAGCCAGCAAGGGUGUGGAGUGAACCAUUAGAAACAGUGAUGUGAUUUUUAUUGAGAAGAAACGAGGUGAAAGUGAGGGCUGGCCUCCGACCUCAGCUGUGACUGAGGAUUAGCUUAGCGUGUGUGACGAAGGCCUGUCUUAGAGCGUCCCCAGAGUUUUAGCUCCUGUGACCAUCCCCGAGCGAGGGACUUGACUUGAUAACACGGACAGGCGGUGGCGUUCCUGAGAAACACCAGGGAACAGUUACAUCUUUAGCUCCCCAGGUUCUGCCACGGCGCGUUUUCUGGCCUGAACAUAUCGACCUGAGCCUAAGUGCAGACACUUCAGCCAGCCUCCUGGUUAAGCUAUGUCGUUUUUUUCCUCUUCCGAGUCUCCAGAAGGCCCAGAACAUACUCUGGGGUCAGUGGUUUCGUGGGGGCACUUGAAACAACAUAAACAAUACAGUGAUGGUGAUUAACUCUGUGUGGGAUGUACCGCUUCAGAUGCCUUCACAGAGCAGAGAGGCAGCAGAGCUUUGCUACCAGCACAGACUCCGGAAUCAGACAUCCUGGAUUCAGACACUCUCUGUGUGACCUGGGAGUUCAUUCUGGUUCCUCUAAGCCUUAGCUUUCUCGCCUCUAAAGUGAAAGUCCCGCCACCCACCACAGAGGAACCUGUCACAACGAUUAAACGAGAGAACCCGUGUCUGUUCAUUCAGCAAGUGUUUGUGAACACCUCUGUGCCUGGCCCUGAACAGCCUAGACGAAAACUUCAGACUUGUAGCUGGAGAGACAGACCGUAAGAACUGGCUGUGAGGGGCUGGCCCGGUGGUGUAGUGGCUAAGUUUGCGUGCUCUGGUUUGGCAGCCUGGGGUUCACAGGUUCAGAUCCCUGGCACGGACCUGUGUACCACUUUUCAAGCCACGCUGUGGCAGCAUCCCACAUAAAAUAGAGGAAGAUGGACACAGAUGUUAGCUCAGGGCCAAUCUUCCUCACACACACACACAAAAAACAAAAACUGGCUCGGUGUGUGAAGCAUUAGAUGGUGAUGAGCGCUGGGAAGAAGAUACAGCAGGGAGGGGCAGGGGGCAGAGCCGGGCAGGGGACUCGUGGUGCCACCUGAGCACAGAAGCACAUAUGCUGUGAGGGGAGGGCGGGCGGCCCUCUGGGUGGACAUUCCAGGCAGCGUGGACGCAGUGGUACCAGCCUGAGGAGGCCUUGCGUCUGCCGGGUGAGAGGAAGGGGAAGGAAGCCACUGUGGCCACAAGUGAGUAAGCGAGGCGGGAGGGUGGGACGUGAGGCAGAAAGGUGGGUUUGGGGGCCGAGUCACGCAGGCCCUUUGGGGCCUUUUCACUCGGGGAGAAGGAGGAGGCCAUAUGCGCGUUCUGAGCAGAAGAGUGAUUAAAUCAGACCCAGUUUUUAACAGGGUCAUUCUGAGUGUUGGGUGGAAGCAAAGAGCCCAGUUAGGAGGCCAUUGCUACACUUUAUGUGAGAUGUGAUGGGAACUUGGACCAGGGUGAUGAGGCAGAGGUGGGAGAAGGUAUAGGGUGUGUUUUGAAGGUAAAUCGACAGGAUUUGGAUGCCAGGUGUGAGAGAAAUAGAAAAAGUGCAAUCUCCGGGCCUGAGCAUACGGAAGGAUAGAAUUGCCACUUACUGGGUCAUGACAGACAGUGGGGAGCAAGCUGUCGGGGAAGGUCAGGGGUUUGGGUUCAGACGUUUGUUGAGCAAAUUGCCCAUUAGACACCCGAGUGGGAGUCCAGGAGGCAGUGGGUGAGGUCUGGAGUUCACACAGGGUCCAGGCUGCAGGUGUCUGGGAGUUUGCAUUUCUAACAAGCUCCCUGGGGACGCAGAUGUGGGUGCUGCUGUGUGGAGCCCACGUUUUGAGAAGCACUGGAAUAGGGAAAUACGGUGGGACUGGCAGGCCACCUGAGAGAGGCGCUGAGGUUCCAUGUCCUGCCGUUCUGUCCAGCCGUAGCCAGCUGCUCAGGAUCAGGUCCAGAGCAGGCGCAAGGUUAGAUUGCACCACGAUAGGGGUGAAAUUAUUCCAGGUAAAUAGAGCAAAGGGUUACUCAGCACAGCGUCUAGUACGUGGUACCUGCCCCAAACCUAAGUUACUACCCAGCACCAGCCUGCCCUUAGGAUCCUGCCUCCCAGCGGACAGAGGACCCUCUCCCCGGCUCUGGGCCCCCACACCUGAGUCUGGCUUUAUGACCUUGGGCGAGUUUCUCAGCAUCUCCAAGCUUUCGUCUCUUCAUCUGUAAGAUGACCCACUAACCACCCUGCUUCAUAGAGUUUUGGGGAACUUUACCCGAGAGUCUGCAUGCGAACCGCUCAGUACAAGUCCGUCACACAGGAGCGGCAGACGUCAACAAUCCUCAGAGGCCCGCAGAGGAGGAGGUGCUGGAUGCAAAUGAGCUCUUGGCGUAAAUCUGUCCACCGAAGCCCACAGCCGGCAGAGUCUUCCAGAUUCACGGGAGGCUGCCACCUCACCUCCCAGCUCCGGGAGCUGCUGUCUUUGCUGCGGUCAGGAAGCCGGAAGAACCAGGAAGUCCCCAAGGGAGAAGUGGUCACCUUCCUGACAGUGUUUGCCAGCAGGAGCGUGGGUUCCUCUUCAAACUCGAGUGAUUAGCAAAAUCCAACUCCCAUCCGGAAAUCCAGCUCUAAGGGAGCCCAGGAAGUGUGGUUUAUAACUUUGCUGCUUCUGCAGUGUUACGAAAGCACGUGAAAAGGAGGCUGGAAUGGAUCUCGAGUGCCGCCCACACCAGCCAUGCUUGGUGUUACCAAAAUACCUUCCAAAAUCUACCACAUAUGAAAUUGCCUGAUUUCUCCACAGCAUCACCAAAGCUGUGUGUUAUCACCCUCUUAUUUUCUAUUAACUUGAGAGAAUGUUCUGUUGUUUUAAUUUUGCAUUUCUUUAAUUAUGAAUCAGACUGAAGAUCUUUAGCUUUGUUUAUUGGCCAUUUCUAUUUCUUUUUCGUAAUUUUUUCUGUAUUAGUUAGCUAUUACCUAGUGACAAACUAUCCCAAAACUCAGUGGCUUAAAACAACCACUAUUAAUUCUUUCUCAGGAGUCUGCAGGUCAUCCAGGUGGUUCUGCAGAUGCUGGCUGACUCAGCUGAUAGCUGGGCUCGCGUGUGUGUCUGCGGUCAGCUGGUGGGUCGCUCGAGCUGGCAGGUAUAGAGUAGAGCUGGCUGUGCUGGAUGUGGUCUCUGCCUCCAUCGGGCCAGCCCAGGCUUAUUUUCAUGAUGAUGGCAGGGAUGCAAGAGAGGAAGGAGAAAGACUCAAGUGCUUUUCUCAUCUCUGUUCUGUUUGUGCAGGUACUUCCAUCCCAUUAGCCAAAGCAAAUCCCAUGGCCAAGUGCAGCCCCAGUGUGAGAGGGCCCCACCCAGUGCCUGGACGCAGAGAGGCCAUUGAUUGGCACCAGCCGUGAAGUCAGUCUUGUGCAUUAUCUUUUGAUUGUUGUUUGCCUUGUCUUGUUGAUUUGUAAGAAUCUUUUAUAUUGAGUUAAUUAACUCUACACAAAAUUCAGAUAGUAACAAUAAAAUUUUGGGUAUACACUUAUAAGUGAAAAAACAAGAACAGACUACAGCAUUGGAGAAAUCUCCUAUAUAUCUCCUUUUUUAAAAAAAUGCUUUUGAAUAGGUGUGGACGUACACAGAGGCUAACACACUUGAGUGGGAAGCACGUUCAGCUUGGGUGUGGUGGGCCUUUCUAUUUUGAUUACAGUCUGUGAUAACAUUAAGGCAGGGCUUUCAUCCGUGC
rnacentral:lncRNA from 1 species